rnacentral:lncRNA from 1 species
AUGUCAGGUACAACAGAGACAGCUGUUUGUCCCCCAGUAUCCUUCAGACAAAGCCAUAUAUGAUUGAAGGUUAUCAGUACUGUGCUUUUGGAGGAUUCAGAAGAAGUUAUAUCUGAUUGGGAGAUUGAAAAGGAUUGGCCUGAAGGAGAGGUGGUUUUUGAACUGCAUCUUAAAGGAUGAGGAAACUGAGGCUGAGAGGGUAGAGAACUUUGCCUGAGGUCACUCAGCAGGGACCCACCCAUCACAGUAAAUGCCAGCACUGCUGAUGCCAAAACAAUGUUAUUUGUAGGCCCUCGGAAUUUGUGACCUGAAGGAAGAAGAGCAGGGCCGUGGGAAGUAUGUAACCAGUGUCAUGCCCCUGGUCCCAAGGAAGCAGUGGCUUGGUAAAGAGGGGACCCCCGUCAAUAACUCCCUGUAAUUACUGGGCACCCACUCUGAGCUCCUCAGUGGAAUCCUAAGGUUAAUAAGACUGUCUCUAGCCACUGGGGCUCCCAGCCUGGAGUGAGGCCUGAACACCCUGUCCUACCUGGUCCUACCUGGAUGCUGGCCUCAGUAAGCUCCUGGGCUCAUUGAAGAUGAACCUAGCAGUAGUAUUUACACCACUUGUUGUGUGCCCACUGUGGGCCCGGCGCCAUGCCGAGUGCUCUAUGGAUGUGAGAGAAACGGAGGCCCAGAAAGCAGAAAUGAUGUGUUAAGAUCACUCAUCAAGCUGAUGGUACAGAGAUGAGAACACUGAAGCAGUUUUUUCUAAAGAUAGCUGCCUGGCACAGUGGCUCACAUCUGUAGUCCCAGCAUUUGGGGAGGCCAAGGCAGGUGGAUCACUUGAGGCCAGGAAUUCAAGACCAGCAUGGCCAACAUGUGCUGGGAGAGAAAAGCAUACGACAUAGACAGGGAGGUCAAGCUCCACCACGCAGAUGAGGUGCAGGCCACCAGUCUUCCUCUGCCACAUCUCUUUCUGAAAAGGACUUCACAUUCACCCUUGCAAUCCAUGUGGGGACACUGUUGGAUAGGAGGCGUGGUCCCAGCGUGGUCUCCCUGUCUGGGCCUCUGCCUAUGCCAAAUGUUUGCCUUACGCUGCACACUCAAGAGGUUCCAUGUAUACAGAUGGGAAUUCCAGAGCUACAGAAAAGGCAGCAAGCACCAUGAUUUAAGCUAACCAGUGUGGAUUCACACCUUCCUCUCUCUCUAUCAGUGGCAGAACUACCAGCUAGAGUAAGAAGUGGUUGAUCCAGGACCUAAACAUUCUGGAAACUCUUGCCCACUUCUGGGAGAAAUGACCCAAUCCAUAGUACUAAGCACACCUUAACUUUCGUAGGACGCAGGCAAGUUGUCAUACCGUGUGCCUAAAUAUAGAAAAAUGAUCCACUGGACUAAUAAAGUGUUAAAUAAAA